CGACCAGCUUUGCCAAAGGGGCACUCGCUCCGAACACCGAGGUGGACGGAGGACGAGACUAUCCCCGGCCGGCGUCCACCCGCGCUUGACCCACCCUCCCUGAGCCCCGCAGAAAGACACGUUUGCAGCGAAAGGCUCUUACACACCAACCGGGUUUUUAUUCGUCCCUUACCCGGCGUGCGCUCUGGGAGCGCGGGAAACAAGGAAAACGCACAUACCUGGCGGCGCUCCGAGGGCGGCCUCGCGGGCCCGCCGCUGGCGAGGGGGCCCCCAGAAGCCACUCCCCGCCCGGCUGGUCGCCCCACGGCCCGUCCCUCCCUCCCCGGCGACGCACCCCGCGGAGCCAACUCUCCAGGAAGCGCGAGGAGCUUCCUGUCUGGGCGCUGCGUCCAUCUUCCAGCGCCAGGGCCCGCACCUCCUCCCCGUGCGCGGGCGCGCAGAGUCCCCGCGGCCGGUAGACCCAGAAGGGGACUCUGAAGCCGCGGAGCCGAGCGUCCCGCUGCUGGACUGCGGCUCCAGCUGCAGGUCCGGGCCCGGGGCGUCUUUCUCCGCCUGGGCUCCCGCCUUCCCACGUUUCCAGCCAAACUGCGGAGACCGACGCUGAGCCCUCGGGGAAGACCAGGCGGCGGCGGCGGCGGGAGCGGAAGCCUGUGCCCCUGGAAGAGUGGCUCAUGGGAAGCCACUGGUCCAAGGAGGAUGAGGGAACCCUGGAGCAGACCUGAACCCGCCCUGCUUGGCCCUGAGAGCCCUGAGUUAUGUAGGCUGCCAGCACAGCAUGGCUGCUAACAGAGCGGUGUAUGUCCACGCCCAGAACUGAACCCAGGCCACUGAAGUGGAGCAUGCUAAAAACAGCAUCUUUUCAGAGAAAAAAUAAAAGAGAUUUUCAUCCUUUAAAAACAGCAUCUGGAGAGUUGAACUCUGAGUGACUUUUGUUUUCUUCUUUAUAAUCUUAUGUUUCAUAUAAGUUUUUAUAAGAAUACAGUAUAUUAUUUAUAUCUUCAGGAAAAAAAACAAAAUCAUGUUUGUUGUGACAAAAUAAAAAUAAGUUUAAAAAUGUACUUUCCAAAAGUCAACUAGAUAUCUUGGGACUUAAAAAAUUUGGACGUUGAAAUGAAAAAUACUCAAUUGGUGGGCCAAGGAUUGGAACAGACCCAGCAGGGCCGUGAACUAGCGAGCUGGAAGCUCAAACUCAAGAAUUCUCUACAACACUCACUAGGAAGGAAAAGCUUAAGAAACAUGGAAAAUAAGCCCACAGUUUUCUCAUCCAGUUAUUGAGGAGGAAUUCCAAAGGAUAGAGCCUUUGGGGAACAAUACACCACCCUGGCUGAGGAAGAUGCAUGAAGAUAUUUUAGGACAUGAAGGAGGGGCUGGACCGGUGGCGCAGCGGUUAAGUGCUCAUGUUCCGAUUCUCAGUGGCCCAGAGUUCACCCAUUCGGAUCCCGGGUGUGGACAUGGCGCUGCUUGGCAAAAGCCAUGCUGUGGUAGGCGUCCCACGUAUAAAGUAGAGGAAGAUGGGCAGGGAUGUUAGCUCAGGGCCAGUCUUCCUCAGCAAAAAGAGGAGGAUUGGCCGCAGACGUUAGCUCAGCACUAAUCUUCCUCAAAAAAAAAAAAAAGGAAAAGGACACGAAGGAAAAGAUCAAAAGGGAACACCCAGGGGAAGAAACAUUACCGCCAAAAAGAGAAAGCAGAGGAUGAGCUGACAUCAGACCUCGGCAGCCUUGGAUUCCAGAUGAUUGAGGGGCACCUUCAGUUUGGAGGGAAGAUUAUUGGGGCCUGUAAUUCUCUGCCAGGCCUAACAGCCAUUCGGUUGGGAGGAAAAACAAACACUUUUUUGGGUCAUGCCAAGUGUUUAGAGAGUUUAUUUCCAACAAAUACUAUCUGAAAUAAUUGCUAGAUUAUAUACUCUAGCAAAACAAAACAAUCCAAGAGGAAGGCAUGGGCUACAGGAGCCAGUGAAUCUAUUUUUAUCGGGGGACGCAGCCUGGAAAAUACUCUCAACUGUCUGGAAGGGAACUCCGGAUGAUCUCAUCCCAGGCAGGAGAGGCGAGAGGAGGAGGGAGAUGAAGCCAAGAAGUGCCAUGUCUUAUUCGUGGGGACAGUCUGGGUACUUAUUAGUUUCAGGUGGGUCGGGAAAGGUGAGUUCACACGUGCGUGUCAACUUUAAGUAACCACCAGGUGAACAGAAAUUCGAGUAAACCUUCCAAACCUUUAGAAGAAAAAUUGGAACAAAGACAGUUUGCCUUACUUAACAAAAGCAGGAAGUGGAUUGGGAGGAUCCCCCCAUAGGAACAGCUGGAAACGUGCGAAUGAGAACCCACAAUAGGUCACAGAAAUAGGGUUAAGUGUAUUGGUAACCCACAAUAAAUGUCAGCAAGGCAAAGUCAUGCAUUAAAAGACAGAGACACUUGAGUUAGAUAAAAAUUCAACAUCCGGACAGUGCUGUCAGUGAGG
ensembl:lncRNA